UGCGGCUGGAUCACCUCCUUUCUAAGGAGCACACACCCCGACCACUCAGCUAGCUGGCCACAAGGUCCAGCGAUGUCUGGUGGCGCAUGGUGGUGUCUCACUAGUGGAAUCGUCGACACCAAUGCUUCUUCGGGAGCAGCUCCUUCGGGAGCGCCUUCUUCGGGGGGCGUGGUUCACCUGGGUCCCGCGUUGGUGGGAGCAGGGUCAAGCGCACUGUUGGGUCCUGAAGAAUCAGCCGGCCCCGGCUCGAGUGAUCGAGUCCGGGGGUUCCAGCUGGGGCUUCUGGUCCUCCUUCGCCGGACAUCCACGUGUUGUGGGUGGAUGGGGUUGGUGGGGUUGUUGUUUGAGAUCUGCAUAGUGGACGCGAGCAUCUGGCGACAUCACGUACUUGUGUGCGGGUGUUGUCUAGAGCAAUUCGUUUAAUGAGUUUGACACGAUCUGGCUAUUCCUUGGCUGGUCGUGUCGUUGUGUGAGGCCAGCCCUUGACUGUGAUUGUGGUGGGGGUUGGUUGUUGUUCUUUGUGUUUGUGGCGGCAGUUGUCGUUUCAGUGCAGCGCUUUCGAGUGUUGUGGUGUUUUGACGUUGUUGUGACAAGCUAUG
rnacentral:misc_RNA from 1 species